AUUGAACGCUGGCGGCAGGCCUAACACAUGCAAGUCGAUCGAGCGGCGGACGGGUGAGUAAUGUCUGGGAAACUGCCUGAUGGAGGGGGAUAACUACUGGAAACGGUAGCUAAUACCGCAUACCAUCGGAUGUGCCCAGAUGGGAUUAGCUAGUAGGUGGGGUAAAGGCUCACCUAGGCGACGAUCCCUAGCUGGUCGGAGAGGAUGACCAGCCACACUGGAUCUGAUACACGGUCCAGACUCCUACGGGAGGGAGCAGUGGAGAAUAUUGCACAAUGGGCGCAAGCCGGGUGCAGCCAUGCCGAGUGGAUGAAGCAGGCCUUCGGGUUGGAGAGUGAUUUCAGCGGGGGGGCGUUACCCGCAGAAGAAGCACCGGCUAACUCCGUGCCAGCAGCCGCGGUAAUUC
rnacentral:rRNA from 1 species